AUGUCACAGACCCACAGUUCACCAUUUUACCUCCUCGAGUUCACCAUGGAGAUCAGCACGAGCGUGCCACGGUGCACCGCCACCCCGGGCGCUCGCAUGCCGUGCAGCCUCCAAGCCGUCGUGCCCACGAAAGCGAGGCAGCCACGGCACCUGUCGUGCAAGGCAACGGGCGGCCGUGUCGACCGCCGUGACGUGCUCCUCGGCAUCGGCAGCGCCGCGGCGACCGGGCUGGGCAGGCAGAGAGGCCGAGGGGCGAUCGCCGCGCCCAUCCAGGCCCCGGACCUCGGCAACUGCAACCCGCCCGACCUCCCGAACACGGCGCCGGACACCAACUGCUGCCCGACGUCCGGCACCGGGAUCAUCGACUUCGUGCUGCCGCCGGCCUCCUCGGCGCCGCUCCGCGUGCGCCCGGCCGCGCACCUGGCGGACGCGGAGUACCUGGCCAAGUACGAGCGGGCUGUGGCGCUCAUGAAGCAGCUGCCCGCCGACGACCCCCGCAGCUUCGAGCAGCAGUGGCGCGUGCACUGCGCCUACUGCGACGGCGCGUACGACCAGGUCGGCUUCCCGGACCUGGAGAUCCAGGUGCACAACUGCUGGCUCUUCUUCCCAUGGCACAGGUUCUACCUCUACUUCCACGAGAGGAUCCUCGGCAAGCUCAUCGGCGACGACACCUUCGCGCUGCCCUUCUGGAACUGGGACGCGCCGGCCGGCAUGACGCUGCCGGCGAUCUACGCCAACAGGUCGUCGCCGCUCUACAAUGAGAGGCGCGACCCCGCCCACCAGCCGCCGUUCCCGGUCGACCUCGACUACAACGAGAUAGAUGUCAUCAUCCCAACAGACGAGCAGAUCGACCAGAACCUCAACAUCAUGUACCGCCAGAUGGUGUCGAGUGCCAAGAAGACUCGGCUGUUCAUGGGGCAGCCAUACCGCGCCGGCGACCAGCCGGACCCGGGAGCGGGCUCCCUGGAGAACCUGCCGCACAACACGGUGCACAUCUGGACGGGCGACCCGGCGCAGCCCAACAGCGAGGACAUGGGCAACUUCUACUCGGCGGCGCGCGACCCCAUCUUCUUCGCGCACCACGGCAACAUCGACCGCCUCUGGCACGUCUGGCGCGGCCUCCGCCGGGGCAACGCCAACUUCACCGACGCCGACUGGCUUGACACCGCCUUCCUCUUCUACGACGAGGAGGCCCGCCCCGUGCGCGUCCGCGUCCGCGACUGCCUCGACCCGGCCGCCAUGGGGUACUCCUACCAGGACGUCGGCCUGCCGUGGCUGAAGGCCAAACCGGGCAAGAGAUCCCGCAGGACGCCGGCGCCCGCGGCGGGCGCGCUCCCGGCGACGCUGAGGGAGACCGUGCGGGUGACGGUGACAAGGCCCCAGGUGUCGAGGAGCGACAAGGAGAAGGAGGAGGCGGAGGAGGUGCUGAUCAUCGAGGGGAUCCAGGUCGCCGACCACUUCAAGUUCGUCAAGUUCGACGUGCUGGUGAACGCGCCCGAGAGCGGAGGCGAUGCCGCGUCGGGGUACUGCGCCGGCAGCGUCGCGAUGACGCCGCACAUGGUCCGGACGAACAAGAAGAAGGGCUCCAUGAAGACGGUGGCGAGGUUCGGCGUCUGCGACCUGAUGGACAACAUCGGGGCAGACGGCGACAAGACGGUCGUCGUGUCACUCGUGCCAAGGUGCGGCGGCGAGCUGGUCACCGUCGGCGGCGUCAGCAUCGGCUAUACCAAGUGA
rnacentral:rRNA from 1 species